CCUACGGGGGGCAGCAGUGGGGAAUAUUGGACAAUGGGGGCAACCCUGAUCCAGCCAUGCCGCGUGUGUGAAGAAGGCCCUCGGGUUGUAAAGCACUUUCAGUGAGGAAGAACGCCUGGUGGUUAAUACCCAUCAGGAAAGACAUCACUCACAGAAGAAGCACCGGCUAACUCCGUGCCAGCAGCCGCGGUAAUACGGAGGGUGCGAGCGUUAAUCGGAAUUACUGGGCGUAAAGCGCGCGUAGGUGGCUUGAUAAGCCGGUUGUGAAAGCCCCGGGCUCAACCUGGGAACGGCAUCCGGAACUGUCAAGCUAGAGUGCAGGAGAGGAAGGUAGAAUUCCCGGUGUAGCGGUGAAAUGCGUAGAGAUCGGGAGGAAUACCAGUGGCGAAGGCGGCCUUCUGGACUGACACUGACACUGAGGUGCGAAAGCGUGGGUAGCAAACAGGAUUAGAUAGCCCAGUAGUC
rnacentral:rRNA from 1 species